AUUGAACGCUGGCGGCAGGCCUAACUCAUGCAAGACGGGCGAGCGGCGUACGGGUGAGUAAUGUAUGGGGAACUGCCAGAUGGAAGGGGAUCAUUACGGGAAACGGUAGCUAAUACCGCAUUCCCUUAGAUGAAACCAUAUGGGAUUAUCUUGGAGGUGAGGUAACGGCUCACCUAGGCGACGAUCCCGUGCUGGUCUGAGAGGAUGUUCAGCCACACUGGGACUGAGACACGGCCCAGACUCCUACGGGAGGCAGCAGUGGGGAAUAUUGCACAAUGGGCGCAAGCCUGAUGCAGCCAUGCCGCGUGUAUGAAGAAGGCCUUCGGGUUGUAAAGUACUUUCAGUCGGGAGGCGUUACCGACAGAAGAAGCACCGGCUAACUCCGUGCCAGCAGCCGCGGUAAUAC
rnacentral:rRNA from 1 species